rnacentral:siRNA from 1 species
UUGGCUCAGGCGGUUCUUGCA